UACAGAGGGUGCGAGCGUUGUUCGGAAUUAUUGGGCGUAAAGGGCGCGUAGGCGGCGCCACAAGUCACUUGUGAAAACUCUGGGCUCAACCCAGAGCCUGCAGGCGAAACUGUGGUGCUGGAGUAUGGGAGAGGUGCGUGGAAUUCCCGGUGUAGCGGUGAAAUGCGUAGAUAUCGAGAGGAACACCAGUGGCGAAGGCGAGUCCCUGGACAGGUCCUGACGCUGAGGCACGAAAGCUAGGGGAGCAAACAGG
rnacentral:rRNA from 1 species